rnacentral:rRNA from 1 species
GACGAACGCUGGCGGCGUGCCUAAUACGUGCAAGUAGAACGCUGAAGGAGGAGCUUGCUUCUCUGGAUGAGUUGCGAACGGGUGAGUAACGCGUAGGUAACCUGCCUGGUAGCGGGGGAUAACUAUUGGAAACGAUAGCUAAUACCGCAUAAUAGUAGAUGUUGCAUGACAUUUGCUUAAAAGUUGCAAUUGCAUCACUACCAGAUGGACCUGCGUUGUAUUAGCUAGUUGGUGGGGUAACGGCUCACCAAGGCGACGAUACAUAGCCGACCUGAGAGGGUGAUCGGCCACACUGGGACUGAGACACGGCCCAGACUCCUACGGGAGGCAGCAGUAGGGAAUCUUCGGCAAUGGACGGAAGUCUGACCGAGCAACGCCGCGUGAGUGAAGAAGGUUUUCGGAUCGUAAAGCUCUGUUGUAAGAGAAGAACGAGUGUGAGAGUGGAAAGUUCACACUGUGACGGUAGCUUACCAGAAAGGGACGGCUAACUACGUG